GACGAACGCUGGCGGCGUGCCUAAUACAUGCAAGUCGAACGCACUCUCGUUUAGAUUGAAGGAGCUUGCUCCUGAUUGAUAAACAUUUGAGUGAGUGGCGGACGGGUGAGUAACACGUGGGUAACCUGCCCUAAAGUGGGGGGUAACAUUUGGAAACAGAUGCUAAUACCGCAUAAAACCUAACACCGCAUGGUGUAGGGUUGAAAGAUGGUUUCGGCUAUCACUUUAGGAUGGACCCGCGGUGCAUUAGUUAGUUGGUGAGGUAAAGGCUCACCAAGACCGUGAUGCAUAGCCGACCUGAGAGGGUAAUCGGCCACACUGGGACUGAGACACGGCCCAGACUCCUACGGGAGGCAGCAGUAGGGAAUCUUCCACAAUGGACGAAAGUCUGAUGGAGCAACGCCGCGUGAGUGAAGAAGGUUUUCGGAUCGUAAAACUCUGUUGCUGGAGAAGAAUGUAUCUGAUAGUAACUGAUCAGGUAGUGACGGUAUCCAACCAGAAAGCC
rnacentral:rRNA from 1 species